rnacentral:lncRNA from 1 species
AAUGUGUAAGAGAAUAAGAGAUAGUGGAGGUAGGUGAGACAAGACAAGCAAAAGGAGAGUUCUAGAGAAAGUGAGGGAACAUUGGAGUUUCAAGCAAGCUUUCUCCUCUUUGUUCUUUGUCUUUGAUCUUUGUUCUUCUUGAGAUUGUAUCUGAAACCAAAAGACAACAUCACAAGUUAGCAGUGUAUGUAACCUCAUUCUCAUAGUGAAAGUUGGGAGCAAAAGUCCUCCCCCGAGACGUAGCG